GCAGUGAUGGUUCAGCGGUAGAAUUCUUGCCUUCCAUGUGGAAAACCUGGGUUCGAUUCCUGGCCAAUGCA
rnacentral:tRNA from 1 species